CCUACGGGAGGCAGCAGUGGGGAAUUUUGGACAAUGGGCGCAAGCCUGAUCCAGCAAUGCCGCGUGAGUGAAGAAGGCCUUCGGGUUGUAAAGCUCUUUUGUCAGGGAAGAAACGGGUCUUUCUAAUACAGAGAUCUAAUGACGGUACCUGAAGAAUAAGCACCGGCUAACUACGUGCCAGCAGCCGCGGUAAUACGUAGGGUGCAAGCGUUAAUCGGAAUUACUGGGCGUAAAGCGUGCGCAGGCGGUUUUGUAAGUUUGUCGUGAAAUCCCCGGGCUCAACCUGGGAAUGGCGAUGAAGACUGCAAGGCUAGAGUUUGGCAGAGGGGGGUAGAAUUCCACGUGUAGCAGUGAAAUGCGUAGAUAUGUGGAGGAACACCGAUGGCGAAGGCAGCCCCCUGGGUCAAAACUGACGCUCAUGCACGAAAGCGUGGGGAGCAAACAGGAUUAGAUACCCUGGUAGUCCACGCCCUAAACGAUGUCUACUAGUUGUCGGGUCUUAAUUGACUUGGUAACGCAGCUAACGCGUGAAGUAGACCGCCUGGGGGAGGUACGGUCGCGAAGUAAGUUAAACGUUAAAGUUAAGUAAGUUAGUUACGGUACGUUGAGACGCGACCGACGGACGACGACGAGGGAGGAGG
rnacentral:rRNA from 1 species